AGAGUGAACGCUGGCGGCAGGCCUAAUACAUGCAAGUCGAACGGCAGCACAGCAGAGCUUGCUCUGUGGGUGGCGAGUGGCGGACGGGUGAGGAAUACAUGGGAAUCUGCCCAGUCGUGGGGGAUAACGUAUGGAAACGUACGCUAAUACCGCAUGCGCCCUUCGGGGGAAAGCCGGGGAUCUUCGGACCUGGCGCGAUUGGAUGAGCCCAUGUCGGAUUAGCUAGUUGGGGGGGUAAAGGCCCACCAAGGCGACGAUCCGUAGCUGGUCUGAGAGGAUGAUCAGCCACACUGGAACUGAGACACGGUCCAGACUCCUACGGGAGCAGCAGUAGGAAUAUUGGACAAGUGGGCGCAAGCCUGAUCCAGCCAUCGCCGCGUGUGUGAAGGAAGGCCGUUAGGGUUAGUAAAGCGUACUUUUCGUACCGGAAAAG
rnacentral:rRNA from 1 species